UCUACGUAGCGUGAAUCAUCGAAUCUUUGAACGCACCUUGCACUUUUGGAGUGUAUCCAAAAGUAUACCUGUGUGAGUAUCAUAUUCUUUUCUUGUUUGAUAACAAGGCUGUGGAGUCCAGUUCAUCUAGUGCUGUUCUCUGGAAUGUAUAGAGUAUUCUGAAGAGAAAGAAACUACUGUGCGAGGAUGUUUGCCAUGAGCAAAAUAGUUGUACAUUGGCUCUAUCUUUAAGAAUACUAAUACUAAUGAUGCUAAUAUUACUAAUAAUAAUACUAUCAUCACUACUAAUACUAAGUGAUCUCACGUCAGGUAAGACUACCCGCUGAACUUAAGCAUAUCAAUAAGCGGAGG
rnacentral:rRNA from 1 species